UGACCCGUAGCUCAGUGGUAGAGCAUCUGAUUCCAGCUCCAUGGAAGCAGUAUCCAGAAUCAUCCGUUCAAAUCGGGUCGGGUUCA